rnacentral:rRNA from 1 species
AUUGAACGCUAGCGGGAUGCUUUACACAUGCAAGUCGAACGAGUGGCGGACGGGUGAGUAAUAUAUCGGAACGUGCCUAGUAGCGGGGGAUAACUACUCGAAAGAGUGGCUAAUACCGCAUACUAUUGGAGCGGCCGAUAUGGGAUUAGCGAGUGGGUGGGGUCAAGGCUCACCAAGGCAACGAUCCGUAGCUGGUCUGAGAGGAUGACCAGCCACACUGGGACUGAGACACGGCCCAGACUCCUACGGGAGGCAGCAGUGGGGAAUUUUGUACAAUGGGGGAAAGCCUGAUCCAGCCAUCCCGCGUGUAUGAGAAGGCCUUCGGGUUGUAAAGUACUUUCGGCAGAGAAGCGGUAUCUGCAGAAUAAGCACCGGCUAACUACGUGCCAGCAGCCGCGGUAAUUC